ACGAACGCUGGCGGCGUGCCUAAUACAUGCAAGUCGAGCGAAGUUUUUCUGGUGCUUGCACUCGAAAAACUUAGCGGCGAACGGGUGAGUAACACGUAAAGAACCUGCCUCAUAGACUGGGACAACUAUUGGAAACGAUAGCUAAUACCGGAUAACAGCAUUAACUGCAUGGUUGAUGUUUAAAAGUUGGUUUUGCUAACACUAUGAGAUGGCUUUGCGGUGCAUUAGCUAGUUGGUGGGGUAAAGGCCUACCAAGGCGACGAUGCAUAGCCGACCUGAGAGGGUGAUCGGCCACACUGGGACUGAGACACGGCCCAGACUCCUACGGGAGGCAGCAGUAGGGAAUCUUCCGCAAUGGGCGAAAGCCUGACGGAGCAACGCCGCGUGAGUGAAGAAGGAUUUCGGUUCGUAAAGCUCUGUUGUUAGGGAAGAAUGAUUGUGUAGUAACUAUACACAGUAGAGACGGUACCUAACCAGAAAGCCACGGCUAACUACGUG
rnacentral:rRNA from 1 species